GAAAAAGUGACUGGCGCUCCACUGUCCGUGGAGGAUGAAGAAAGAGAUGAGACACCACAGAAGCAGGCACCAGUGUCGAGAGGGAGGAGGAAUCGAAUAGUAGAUGGAAAAUGGUGGAGAAAAAGAGCAAGAAGAGGAGGAGAAGGACACACAGGAUAAAAUGUGACCCCUAACUCACACCACCCCCCAUCACUCCCUACAGACACCAACCCUCUUCAUGCCCAGUUUGACAAGAAAAACAAUUGCAACAUACAGGAGCCCAAAAUUUUCGCACCCUUGACCAGUAGUGAAAAAUAUGUUAUACUAUAUGACAGAGGAAAUGAAAAUCUUGAUAACGAGAUAAACUUGUGGAAUGGAAUUAUUAAGAUGGAUUUAACAAAAGUGAGGGGGUUGCCUGGGCAUUUGCGCUGUGUGAUGGCAAACCCAGGCUUCCUUGUAAAAUUAACGGAUUACAAGGUGGACCAAGAGGAUAGAUACCAGAACAAUGGCAGAACUGGUGCAAAAGGAUUGAACUCUGGGGAUAAAUGAGGUCGAUGAUGUUCAAUAUUCAGUGUGAAUUGUUAUAGAUUAUUAACAAAAGGACGGAGACUAGCAAGAGGAAGAGAUCAAUUCUGAAGAAGAAAAUAUUGAAAAUAAAGCAAACUUAAGCAUACAUGAACAGGAAAAAAAUGGCAGGGAAAAAUAUCUAAAAAAAAUAGAUACAUAUACCAUGAUGUAACAACAAAAGAUUAUCAACUUUUUAUAAGGAUAUGAAGAGCGAGAUCUUUGA